GAGCCGUUAGCUCAGUCGGUAGAGCAUCUGACUUUUAAUCAGAGGGUCGCAGGUUCGAAUCCUGCACGGCUCA
rnacentral:tRNA from 2 species